rnacentral:sRNA from 1 species
GCUGGGCGCGGUGGCACAUGCCUGUAAUCCAGAGCUCUCGGGAGGCUGAGGCAGGAGGAUCUCGAGUUUAAAGCCAGCCUCAU